AUUGAACGCUGGCGGCAGGCCUAACACAUGCAAGUCGAGCGAGAAAGGUCUUCGGACUGAGUACAGCGGCGGACGGGUGAGUAAAGCGUAGGAAUUUACCUGGUAGUGGGGGAUAACUUGGGGAAACUCAAACUAAUACCGCAUACGCCCUACGGGGAAAGGCGGGGACCGUUCGGGCCUCGCGCUAUCAGAUGAGCCUGCGUAGGAUUAGCUAGUUGGUGAGGUAAAGGCUCACCAAGGCGACGAUCCUUAGCUGGUCUGAGAGGAUGAUCAGCCACACUGGGACUGAGACACGGCCCAGACUCCUACGGGAGGCAGCAGUGGGGAAUAUUGCGCAAUGGGCGAAAGCCUGACGCAGCCAUGCCGCGUGUGUGAAGAAGGCCCUUGGGUUGUAAAGCACUUUCAAUUGGGAAGAAAGGUUGCGUGUUAAUAGCACGUAGCUGUGACGUUACCUUUAGAAGAAGCACCGGCUAACUCCGUGCCAGCAGCCGCGG
rnacentral:rRNA from 1 species